UAUGGUCAAGUGAAGAAGCGCAUACGGUGGAUGCCUUGGCAGUCAGAGGCGAUGAAAGACGUGGUAGCCUGCGAUAAGCUUCGGGGAGUCGGCAAACAGACUUUGAUCCGGAGAUCUCUGAAUGGGGGAACCCACUCAGCAUAAGCUGAGUAUCUUGUACUGAAUACAUAGGUGCAAGAGGCGAACCAGGGGAACUGAAACAUCUAAGUACCCUGAGGAAAAGAAAUCAACCGAGAUUCCCUUAGUAGUGGCGAGCGAACGGGGACUAGCCCUUAAGUGGCUUUGAGAUUAGCGGAACGCUCUGGAAAGUGCGGCCAUAGUGGGUGAUAGCCCUGUACGCGAAAAUCUCUUAGUCAUGAAAUCGAGUAGGACGGAGCACGAGAAACUUUGUCUGAAUAUGGGGGGACCAUCCUCCAAGGCUAAAUACUACUGACUGACCGAUAGUGAACCAGUACCGUGAGGGAAAGGCGAAAAGAACCCCGGAGAGGGGAGUGAAAUAGAUCCUGAAACCGUAUGCGUACAAGCAGUGGGAGCCUACUUGUUAGGUGACUGCGUACCUUUUGUAUAAUGGGUCAGCGACUUAUAUUCAGUGGCGAGCUUAACCGAAUAGGGGAGGCGUAGCGAAAGCGAGUCUUAAUAGGGCGUUUAGUCGCUGGGUAUAGACCCGAAACCGGGCGAUCUAUCCAUGGGCAGGUUGAAGGUUAGGUAACACUGACUGGAGGACCGAACCGACUACCGUUGAAAAGUUAGCGGAUGACCUGUGGAUCGGAGUGAAAGGCUAAUCAAGCUCGGAGAUAGCUGGUUCUCCUCGAAAGCUAUUUAGGUAGCGCCUCAUGUAUCACUGUAGGGGGUAGAGCACUGUUUCGGCUAGGGGGUCAUCCCGACUUACCAAACCGAUGCAAACUCCGAAUACCUACAAGUGCCGAGCAUGGGAGACACACGGCGGGUGCUAACGUCCGUCGUGAAAAGGGAAACAACCCAGACCGUCAGCUAAGGUCCCAAAGUUAUGGUUAAGUGGGAAACGAUGUGGGAAGGCUUAGACAGCUAGGAGGUUGGCUUAGAAGCAGCCACCCUUUAAAGAAAGCGUAAUAGCUCACUAGUCGAGUCGGCCUGCGCGGAAGAUGUAACGGGGCUCAAACCAUACACCGAAGCUACGGGUAUCACUUAGGUGAUGCGGUAGAGGAGCGUUCUGUAAGCCUGUGAAGGUGAGUUGAGAAGCUUGCUGGAGGUAUCAGAAGUGCGAAUGCUGACAUGAGUAACGACAAUGGGAGUGAAAAACUCCCACGCCGAAAGACCAAGGUUUCCUGCGCAACGUUAAUCGACGCAGGGUUAGUCGGUCCCUAAGGCGAGGCUGAAAAGCGUAGUCGAUGGAAAACAGGUUAAUAUUCCUGUACUUCUGGUUAUUGCGAUGGAGGGACGGAGAAGGCUAGGCCAGCUUGGCGUUGGUUGUCCAAGUUUAAGGUGGUAGGCUGAGAUCUUAGGUAAAUCCGGGAUCUUAAGGCCGAGAGCUGAUGACGAGUUGCCAUUAGGCGACGAAGUGGUUGAUGCCAUGCUUCCAAGAAAAGCUUCUAAGCUUCAGAUAACCAGGAACCGUACCCCAAACCGACACAGGUGGUUGGGUAGAGAAUACCAAGGCGCUUGAGAGAACUCGGGUGAAGGAACUAGGCAAAAUGGCACCGUAACUUCGGGAGAAGGUGCGCCGGUGAGGGUGAAGGACUUGCUCCGUAAGCCCAUGCCGGUCGAAGAUACCAGGCCGCUGCGACUGUUUAUUAAAAACACAGCACUCUGCAAACACGAAAGUGGACGUAUAGGGUGUGACGCCUGCCCGGUGCCGGAAGGUUAAUUGAUGGGGUUAGCUAACGCGAAGCUCUUGAUCGAAGCCCCGGUAAACGGCGGCCGUAACUAUAACGGUCCUAAGGUAGCGAAAUUCCUUGUCGGGUAAGUUCCGACCUGCACGAAUGGCGUAACGAUGGCGGCGCUGUCUCCACCCGAGACUCAGUGAAAUUGAAAUCGCUGUGAAGAUGCAGUGUAUCCGCGGCUAGACGGAAAGACCCCGUGAACCUUUACUAUAGCUUUGCACUGGACUUUGAAUUUGCUUGUGUAGGAUAGGUGGGAGGCUUUGAAGCGUGGACGCCAGUUCGCGUGGAGCCAUCCUUGAAAUACCACCCUGGCAACUUUGAGGUUCUAACUCAGGUCCGUUAUCCGGAUCGAGGACAGUGUAUGGUGGGUAGUUUGACUGGGGCGGUCUCCUCCUAAAGAGUAACGGAGGAGUACGAAGGUGCGCUCAGACCGGUCGGAAAUCGGUCGUAGAGUAUAAAGGCAAAAGCGCGCUUGACUGCGAGACAGACACGUCGAGCAGGUACGAAAGUAGGUCUUAGUGAUCCGGUGGUUCUGUAUGGAAGGGCCAUCGCUCAACGGAUAAAAGGUACUCCGGGGAUAACAGGCUGAUACCGCCCAAGAGUUCAUAUCGACGGCGGUGUUUGGCACCUCGAUGUCGGCUCAUCACAUCCUGGGGCUGAAGCCGGUCCCAAGGGUAUGGCUGUUCGCCAUUUAAAGUGGUACGCGAGCUGGGUUUAGAACGUCGUGAGACAGUUCGGUCCCUAUCUGCCGUGGACGUUUGAGAUUUGAGAGGGGCUGCUCCUAGUACGAGAGGACCGGAGUGGACGAACCUCUGGUGUUCCGGUUGUCACGCCAGUGGCAUUGCCGGGUAGCUAUGUUCGGAAGAGAUAACCGCUGAAAGCAUCUAAGCGGGAAACUUGCCUCAAGAUGAGAUCUCACUGGAGCCUUGAGCUCCCUGAAGGGCCGUCGAAGACUACGACGUUGAUAGGUUGGGUGUGUAAGCGCUGUGAGGCGUUGAGCUAACCAAUACUAAUUGCCCGUGAGGCUUGACCAUA
rnacentral:rRNA from 1 species